GACGAACGCUGGCGGCGUGCUUAACACAUGCAAGUCGAACGGAGCGAAUGAAAGCUUGCUUUUAUGAGCUUAGUGGCAAACGGGUGAGUAACACGUAGACAACCUGCCGACAGGAUGGGGACAACAUUCCGAAAGGAAUGCUAAUACCGAAUGAAGCGGAGGAGAGGCAUCUCUCUUCUGUGAAAGAUGGCCUCUUUUUAUGCUAUCACCUGUUGAUGGGUCUGCGUCUGAUUAGCUGGUUGGUGAGGUAACGGCUCACCAAGGCGACGAUCAGUAGCCGGUCUGAGAGGAUGAACGGCCACAUUGGGACUGAGACACGGCCCAGACUCCUACGGGAGGCAGCAGUGGGGAAUCUUCCGCAAUGGGCGCAAGCCUGACGGAGCAACGCCGCGUGAGUGAAGAAGGUCUUCGGAUCGUAAAGCUCUGUUGACGGGGACGAACGUGCGGAGUGCGAAUAGCGCUU
rnacentral:rRNA from 1 species